rnacentral:rRNA from 1 species
CCUACGGGUGGCAGCAGUGAGGAAUAUUGGUCAAUGGACGCGAGUCUGAACCAGCCAUGUCGCGUGCAGGAUGACUGCUCUAUGAGUUGUAAACUUCUUUUAUAUGGGAAUAAACUCUUCCACGUGUGGCUUUUUGUAUGUAUCAUAUGAAUAAGGAUCGGCUAACUCCGUGCCAGCAGCCGCGGUAAUACGGAGGAUUCGAGCGUUAUCCGGAUUUAUUGGGUUUAAAGGGUGCGUAGGUGGUGGGUUAAGUCAGUGGUGAAAUUUUGAGGCUCAACCUUGGAAUUGCAUUUGAAACUGGCAGUCUAGAGUAUAGUUGAGGUAGGCGGAAUGUGUGGUGUAGCGGUGAAAUGCUUAGAGAUCAUGAAGAACUCCGAUUGCGAAGGCAGUUCACUGAACUACAACUGACACUGAGGCACGAAAGUGUGGGGAGCAAACAGGAUUAGAUACCCGAGUAGUC